ACGGGGUAUUGCCUCAGUAACGGCGAGUGAAGCGGCAAAAGCUCAAAUUUGAAAUCUGGCACCUUUGGUGUCCGAGUUGUAAUUUGAAGAAGGUAACUUUGGAGUUGGCUCUUGUCUAUGUUCCUUGGAACAGGACGUCACAGAGGGUGAGAAUCCCGUGCGAUGAGAUGCCCAAUUCUAUGURAAGUGCUUUCGAAGAGUCGAGUUGUUUGGGAAUGCAGCUCUAAGUGGGUGGUAAAUUCCAUCUAAAGCUAAAUAUUGGCGAGAGACCGAUAGCGAACAAGUACAGUGAUGGAAAGAUGAAAAGAACUUUGAAAAGAGAGUGAAAAAGUACGUGAAAUUGUUGAAAGGGAAGGGCUUGAGAUCAGACUUGGUAUUUUGCAAGCUUUACCUUCGUGGUGGAGUCCCCUGCAGUUUACUGGGCCAGCAUCGGUUUGGAUGGWARGAUAAUGACUUGGGAAUGUGGCUUUGCUUCGGUAAAGUGUUAUAGCCCUUGUUGAUGCUACCUGUCUMGACYGAGGACUGCGUCUUUGACUAGGAUGUUGGCAUAAUGAUCUUAAGUCGCCCGUCUUGAAAMAMGGAMCAA
rnacentral:rRNA from 1 species